rnacentral:lncRNA from 7 species
AUGUUUUCUUCUUGUGAGGCUCUUCUCUUGAAGUUACGUGUCUCCUGUUAGCUUUAGUAGCCUGGUGACUUCCUUAUGCUCCCCAUCUGAAUGGCUCAGUGUUGGAGGAGGGCAGGUGCUGCAGCCCUGGCUACUGCUGCGUGCUUCAGCAAGGCGUGGUGCUGUGCCUGAGUCCUCUACCCGGUGUGUUGCAGAGGUGUGCUGCUAAGAGAAGGCUGCAGGAGGGAAGCUACCUUUUCCAGCUGUUGAAACUCAGCAACUGCUCUGGCCAAAUAUCCCUCGUGUAAAGCCCCAGCUCCUGUGCCAUGUACCAGCCUGGCUUUGUACCGCGGGGCUACUGUCCAACCAUGGUCCCAUCUCCUCCCUACACCUACCUACCACUGCGCGCUGGGAGAGCGGAAGACCCAAACAGCUCCAUCCGUACUACACCUGGCAUUUACCCGCUGUGGUCCCUGUCCCGCUGUACAAUCCAUAUGCAACCUACAGUCCCUACGCUGCCUACCAGAGGUCAGACCAGUAUCGAGACACGUGGCCUGAGGGCUUCACCAUGAGAGGGGAGCUUCAGUGGGGGAAGCUUGGGAAGGUGUUUGGACCAAGGAAAGACCUCCCAGAAUUCGUUAAGGAUGAUCUCCGGAGGGUUUAUGGCACCUACCCACGGACCAAUGUCUCCAUCACCUACCGGAGAGGGGAGUUCUUAGUGAAAGCAGACCCCAAGGUAGGAGAGCAGGAGUACACAGUGGAGAAAAAUGUCAUCCAGAGGGCUCUGACUCCCAGUGCCAGUGAAGCAGAUGACAGCAGUGAAGAUCUUGGUGUCCUGAUCCUCUUACACUUGGUAACCUGGUGCUUGUUCCUCAUGGCCAUGUGUCCUGGCUGAAGUGGCUGCCUGAGGCUCUCCCCUGGGUCUGACCCAGCUCUGGCUGGGGGUGCUGCCUUGCUGCUGAUAGCAGAGCCCUGUGUCCUGUGGCACCUCUGUAGCUGCUCUCCUGGAUCUGAGAAUGACUUGCUUGUGAACUUGUGCCUUUUAAAUGAUUAUAAAUAAACAAUU